rnacentral:rRNA from 1 species
CACGGGGUUGCGAGCGUUGUCCGGAAUUACUAGGCGUAAAGGGCAGGCAGGCGGAUCCAUAAGUUUAUCGUUUAAGGCGUCGGCUUAACCGGCGUAGGGCGGUAGAUACUGUGGAUCUGGAAUGCGGUUGGGGAAGACAGAAUUCCUGGUGUAGCGGUGGAAUGCGCAGAGAUCAGGAGGAAUACCGAAGGCGAAGGCAGUCUUCCAAGCCGUUAUUGACGCUCAACUGCGAAGGUGUGGGUAUAAAACAGGAUUAGAUACCCUGGUAGUCCCUGAG